CAUACCUCAUAAUAUUACUGAUUCUCUGCUCUAAGUACUGAGCAAUGGAACAAAGACCUAGAAAAAGAAAAAAAAAGAGAAGAGGAAAGCCAAUCAGAAAAACAAAGAAAUUCAGACAGAUGGUGCAGAAUCUGGAAAGAGAAGCUAGAAUGACAGGUAAGGCAAAGGAAGAAGAAAGAAAAAGACUGAAGCUUCCAUGUGGAAGGCGAGUGCAAAAUUCCCAAGUAACAAGGAAGGAAUCGAUGCACUGAUACAGUGAAACACCAGCAGUAUUUAAGUAGAUUUGUAUUUGUUCAAAUGUAUAAUUUCAAGUAUUUUCCCAGCCUUUGGUAGAGACAUUUACUUAAGUAAAAAUCCAAUCAUUGUUGAAGACAUAAUAAGAAAGUAAAAGCUGGGCAUUGGUGGCAUACACCUUUAAUCCCAGCUCUUGGGAGGCAGAGGCAGGUGGAUCUCUGUGAGUUUGAGGCCUGCUUGGUCUCCAGAGUGAGUGCCAGGGUAGGCUCCAAAGCUACACAGAGAAACCCUGUCUCAACGCCCCCCCCCAGAAGAAAGUAAAGACAGGUUGAAAGGCUAUGGAACUUAUUGAUAUUCUUCAUUUACUGGGUAUGGUUUCUCCUAUAUUAGAAUGAACAUGGUAAUAUGUUGUCAUUACUGGAUCUCAAGCCACAUUUAUUUUGAGGGAAUGCUGAUGUCAUUACUUCAUUGAAAAUUCUGUUAACUGUGAUAUAAUUUCAGAAUGAGCAUAGCAGUUGCUUAGACCCCUAGGCCCUUGGUUAUUUUCUGUUGGACCUGCACUACAGGAGCAAAGCUGGAUGUUUCUUCUGUAGUGAAUGCAGUUCAAUAUCUUCACCUUCCCAGACAGAGCCUCAGUAGAUGAGGCUUGCUCUCAUUCAGUCUGCUGGAGAACAUCAGACACUGUCAGGUCCUGGCUCUCUUAAAGGUGCUCUUAGAAGAUUUAAUCCGUAAUGUCAAGCAAAUCACAGAAGGAUGGAAAACAAAAUGUGAUUCAUGUAAAUGAGGAAGUAAAGAAGUUCUGAUAGAUCUUUGCAAAGAGUGCUGAGAAAGAUCCCGGAGCCCAGACUGAGAGGGUAAGGAUGAUUCGUGCAUUUGGGGAUUUCCUUAAUGCACUGGCAGCCGCCUUAGGAAGGCUUUCCCAGAAAGGUGAAGAAAAUCUCAGAGGUCAAAGUGACAUACAAAAGUUGUGACACGGGACCUAUUGAGUCAAUUUGAAAUGUUCUGCAUGAAGGGGGGAUCUCCAGCACUGUUGCUGGGUAUUCUAGGGUAGGCUGUGGGCAGGAAGGACUACAUGAGUAUGUGGGUGGCUUUCCCCCUUUCUUUUCUUUAUCAGCCUUUCCUACUGAGUGUGUGCUUGAGAGGUCCAAAGUGAAGGAUAAGCAAGGAUGAGGUGUGACUAGAGCUGACAUGCAGCUGCUCUACAGAGACAAGGCAGGUGCACUUUUGUCUACAGCUGGGCCUUGGCACAGCUGGACAAGGCUCUGCUUUUACAUUUCUUACUUAGGCCUGGAGUCAAGUUAGACAGACUGGGUGCCACUAUCAGAGGGCCUAUUUGUGACCCUGUGCUUAAGCAAUUUCCUCAUCAAUAACGAUUUGUCAUUGAGCUUAUGGUUAUUUGAUGCCCCUUGGUCUUCCUCUCGCUUCUUACUUUGUGUACCCACAGCUGUUGCAAAAUUGUAUAAAAGACCCAGGGACUGAUACUGGGGUACAAGCUUCAAGAUGAAGACCAGAAAAGCAAAGAGGCUGGUCACUAGAUCUUACUCUACCUCAGUCUGGAAGUCAAUCCUGGCUCCACCAAACCUUAGACUGCUGCCUCUCCUUGUGGCUGGAGAAAGCUGAGAUUUCAAUGUCUUCCUAUCCUCAAUGUGUCUGGAUAAUGUAUAACUGAUACUAUCACCACGCCAAGCAUUUUUCACAUUUCAAUGUGAAUGCUAGAGUGGCAAAUACCAGUACCAUGUUAAUAAGUUGCCAAUGAUCUAUUUAAAAUGGGCCAUAGGGAGGAACCACCAUCUGCCUCAAUUCAAAUUGCUUCAUUGCCUAUAUUACUCAUGUCUGGCACAAAAUUUUAAGCCCAACUGGCUUCAAGCAGUGUCCACAACUAGAAGAAAGCUCAUUGUCAUUAGUUUGGAAAAUGCUCUCAGGUUCCAGACGUGAAAAAGUCAUAGAGUUAGAAACAGGCAGAGAGUUUUUCUAAAAAAAAAUCAUUACAAUACUUUCUAUUCAGACAAGGUAUUUAGGAAAUCUUUCGACUGAAAUCAGCAUUUCUCAAAUCAUUCAAUUGCUUUCUUUCUAUGAGAUGAUAUGUUGAAUGGUAUCUCAUUACUCCCAAACUCAGUUCAUAUCCAUCAGAAGCCUAUAUGCACGUGACCCUGCUUUGUAUCUAUUCAUCCUUCAAAACUAAAGAGUGGCUGAAUGUCUUUCAGGAAGACUACAAUGUUUGUUUAUUAUCCUAUUUAUAAGUAUCAAUUUCUGCUGAAGAAGACACACAGGAUGAGACAUAAGAUUGGAUACAGAAACAAGUAGCUUCAAGAGCAUCUUAAACAGUGGGAGCUGUGUAUGGUGACAUAUUAUUUAUGAUUUAUUAAAGCUUGCCUGAGGAUUCAGAAAGCAAAGUCAUCCUCAAGCUAUAGAGAUCAAGCAGUGAUGAUACACACCAGCAGCCAGAAGCUAGAAGAGAAGAAGAUAACGUCAUUGAUUGUGGGCUAGGAAAGGAAGGACAUCUUUCAACUGUGAAGUUGAAACAAAACAAAACAAACAAACAACCUUAUACUAUGCACAAUAAAAAGUAGUAAAAGUUGGAAUUAAAUCCCAAGUGAAGUGUCCUCUUCUAAAUGGCUUUGGUGGUUAGAAUAAGAGAGUAGUCCUUUAAGCCCUUAAACACCAAUUUUGCAAUGACACUGAUACUGACAAAGGAAGCAGACCAUGUCUGUGACACCCAUGAGCAUCUUCUUGUGAGAACAAAGAUCCAGGUUAAGAGGCCAUUGUUACAAUCUAGGUGAGAAAUGGUUCUGACUUGAACUUGAGUGGCAGUUGGUGGAAUUGGAGUUUUUCCAAAUGUGGUUAGAUUCUCUGUGUAUUUUGAAGUCAGAGCCAACAGUAUCCACCAAAGAUAAACCGUGUCAGGGAGAAGAAUCAAAGGCAACUCAAAAGUUUUGAUCUGAGCAAUAGAAAUGGGGAGCUGGCAAUCACUGAGAUGGAGAACGUUGUGGAUGGAACACAUUUCAGGGAGACGUUUCAAUUUCAGAUAUGUUAAAUUUGAGUUGUCAGCUAGAAAUCCAAGUGGGAUUGUUGGGCAGGCAGUUGGAUAUGUGAGUCUGAAGUUUGUGAGAGAGGUCUGGACUAGAGAGAAAAUUUGGAAUUCAUUAGCAUAGAAAUAGCAUUUUAAGCUAUGCAACUGGAAGAGUAUCAUGGGAGUGACUGUUCUGAAGAAAAGAUGAGGUUUAAAAAUACUAGAAUACUCUGAUACUACCAUGGAAAAUAUAAAGCAGAAGAGAGUCAUAGGAAUUCAUAAAGAGAUUAGAAUUUUUAGCUGGAUAGUGCUCAAG